rnacentral:rRNA from 1 species
AGUGAACGCUGGCGGCGUGCCUAAUACAUGCAAGUCGAACGGAGUGGCGCACGGGUGAGUAAUGUAUAGCUAAUCUGCCCUACACUAGAGGACAACAGUUGGAAACGACUGCUAAUACUCUAUAGUGUAGGAUGAGGCUAUAUUGUAUCAGCUAGUUGGUGAGGUAAUGUCUCACCAAGGCUAUGACGCAUAACUGGCCUGAGAGGAUGAUCAGUCACACUGGAAGGGAGACACCGUCAAGACUCCUACGGGAAGGGGCGAUAGGGAAAAUGGCUCAAGGGGGGAAACCCAGAAGGAGCAACGGCGCGUGGAAGAUGACUGUUAUCGGAGCAUAAGCUCCUUUGGUUAGGAAAGCGGUACCUAACGAAUAAGCAACGGCUAACUCCGUGCCAGCAGCCGCGGUAAUAC